AACGAACGCUGGCGGCAUGCCUAACACAUGCAAGUCGAACGAGACCUUCGGGUCUAGUGGCGCACGGGUGCGUAACGCGUGGGAAUCUGCCCUUAGGUUCGGAAUAACUUCGGGAAACUGAAGCUAAUACCGGAUGAUGACGUAAGUCCAAAGAUUUAUCGCCUAAGGAUGAGCCCGCGUUGGAUUAGCUAGUUGGUGAGGUAAAGGCUCACCAAGGCGACGAUCCAUAGCUGGUCUGAGAGGAUGAUCAGCCACACUGGGACUGAGACACGGCCCAGACUCCUACGGGGAGGCAGCAGUGGGGAAUAUUGGACAAUGGGCGAAAGCCUGAUCCAGCAAUGCCGCGUGAGUGAUGAAGGCCUUAGGGUUGUAAAGCUCUUUACCCGGGUAUGAUAAUGACAGUACCGGGAGAAUAAGCUCGGCUAACUCCGUGCCAGCAGCCGCGGUAA
rnacentral:rRNA from 1 species